rnacentral:rRNA from 1 species
GACGUGGGGUGCGAGCGUUGUCCGGAUUUAUUGGGCGUAAAGAGCUCGUAGGCGGCUCGUCGCGUCGGCUGUGAAAACCUGCAGCUUAACUGUGGGCUUGCGGUCGAUACGGGCAUCACUGGAGUUCGGCAGGGGAGACUGGAAUUCCUGGUGUAGCGGUGAAAUGCGCAGAUAUCAGGAGGAACACCGGUGGCGAAGGCGGGUCUCUGGGCAGUAACUGACGCUGAGGAGCGAAAGCGUGGGGAGCGAACAGG